rnacentral:tRNA from 1 species
GGGCCUUAGCUCAGCUGGGAGAGCGCCUGCUUUGCACGCAGGAGGUCAGCGGUUCGAUCCCGC